GUUGGCCUUGUCCAUCCAACACUUGAAUUCACUGGUCCAAUUGCCAAUUGGAUGUGGAGAGCAGAACAUGAUCCACUUGCUCCAAAUAUUUAUGUGCUCCAAUACCUGGACAGGUCCAACCAAGAGAAUAAAGAGAUGAGGAGCACGGCUUUGAGCUAUAUGUUUGAAGGCUAUCAAAGACAGCUAUCCUACCAAAAAGAUGAUGGAUCCUUCAGUGCUUUUGGUGCUCAAGAUCCUGCUGGUAGCACAUGGCUGACAGCCUUCGUCCUGAGGUGCUUCCUCCAGGCUCAACCCUACAUGCACAUUGACGAAACGGUCAUAAUAGAGCCAGAACUUGGCUCAUGGCCUCCAGGGCCCCCAAGGAGAAUUCUCUGAGGUGGGGCGCUUGAUGCACACAGCGAUGCAAGAAGGACUGGACAACGGCCCUGUGGCCCUCACUGCUUUUGUUAUGAUGGCCCUACUGGAGAAAAAACUUAUGUGGACAAGCACUAUGACAAAGUAUCCCUGACCAUAACGUACCUGGAGAGAAGUGUAACCAGUGAAGUGCUCAGCAACUACACAUUGUGUUUAGCAGCGUACGCGUUAGCUCUGGCCAACAGUUCUGUGGCUGGCACAGCGCUGGAGGAACUGAGCACCAGAGCUGACUACAGAGAUGGCAUCAUGAUGUGGGCAUCCUCUGCUGGCCCGGACGUACAUGAGGGCCAACCACACUCGUCUCAGGUAGAAAUGGCCUCAUAUGUAAUGCUGACACAUAUUCAGCGUGGAAGCUAUGUGGAGGGCAUCCCGUUUCUCAAGUGGUUAAUCAAGCAAAGGAACUUCUUGGGUGGCUACAGGAGCACACAGGACACAAUAGUUGCCCUCCAGGCAAUGGCCUACUAUGCUGCAUUUAGUGGCUCCAGCUCCAUCAACCUCCGUCUCCUUGUAUCUUCCUCGAAUUCUUCUUUUACCUUUCCCAUCAACUCCACAGCUAUUUGGCAUACCAGCAGCAUGAGAUCAAUGCUGACCAGGACAUACAUCUACAUAUAUACAUAGAAGGAAGAGGAUUUGCCGUAUUUCAGAUGAAUGUCUUUUACAACCUGGAGAGCGAAGCAUUUUUACAGAACCAAGUUUUGCAUGCCAGAAACCAGGAGGAUUUUGUUUAAAAGUGGACGUGACGGAAGAGGAAAACCACGAUUACUUGUUCUUAUCUGUGUGUGUCAGGCUGAAGAGCAAUCAAGUGAUUCCUCACACAGGCAUGGUUAUCCUGGAUGUCGGCCUGCUCAGUGGUUUUGCUCUCGCCGCUGGCGCUGCUGCCUCAAUACAAUCAAUAAGAAAGGUGGAAACAUUGCCUCAGAAAAUCACCCUCUACCUGGAUUCACUCAACAAGUCAGAACUUUGCAUCCCACUUUCAUUGGUCAGAGUUUUUAAGUGCCCGAAUUCAAGAUGCACUGGUGCAGGUUUAUGACUACUAUGAGCCGACGAGACGAGCAGCGACAACAUAUAAUUCAGAAAUUCUUCGCCUCAUGGACGCUUGUGACUUCUGUGGUGAAGACUUGCAUCUGUGUCUGCUGGGAAUCCCAUCGUGGUGUCCUCAUCAGUGCCCUCAAUACAUAGCACCACGUGUAGCCUUUGUUGGGUAAUACUUGGAAUAACUUUGCUUAUUGCAGUCUAAUUUGAUUGGAAUGUUCGCACCGGUGGUCAGCAGGUCUACCUGAGGCAAUGUGAUGAAGAAAGAUGAAGGAAGCCAAUUGUAUAAAGCAGGUAAAAUUGGAGGACAACUU